rnacentral:rRNA from 1 species
UACAGAGGGUGCAAGCGUUAAUCGGAAUUACUGGGCGUAAAGCGUGCGUAGACGGUUAUGUAAGUCGGAUGUGAAAUCCCCAGGCUCAACCUGGGAACUGCAUCCGAUACUGGAUGGCUUGAAUUCGGGAGAGGGAUGCAGAAUUCCAGGUGUAGCGGUGAAAUGCGUAGAUAUCUGGAGGAAUACCGGUGGCGAAGGCGGCAUCCUGGACCGACAUUGACGCUGAUGAGCGAAAGCUAGGGGAGCAAACGGG